rnacentral:lncRNA from 1 species
UAGAAAUUUUAAAAAAAUAUACUAAAAUAAAAAUCUUAAUAAAAUAUUAAAAUAAAAAAAAUAAUUAAGUCUUAGUCAAAAUUUAGUCAAAUCUUAAUCAAACCUUAAUCAAACCUCGAUCAAAUUCUUGUCAAAUCCUAGUAAAAUCUUAAAUAAGCCCUAUCCAAAUCUUAGAAAAAUCCUAGUCAAAUCUUAGUCAAACCUUUGUUAAAUCCUAGUCAAAUCCUAAACAAAUCCUAACCAAAUCCUAAACAAAUCCUAGUCAAAUCCUAGUCAAAUUCUAAUUGAAUUCCAAUCAAAUCCUAAAUAAAUCCUAACCAAAUUUUAAUAAAAUUUUAAAUAUAUCCUAAUCAAAUCCUAAAUAAGUUAUAACUAAAUUUUAAAUAAAUUCUAAUUGAAUCCUAAUCAAAUCCUAACCAAAAUUUAAUCAAAUCUUAAAUAAAUUCUCAUCAGAUCCGCAAUAAAAUCUAAACAAAUCUUAAUUAAAUCCUAAAUAAAUCCUAGUCAAAUCCUAAAUAAAAUCUAACCAAAUCCUACACAAAUCCUUAUCAAAUCCUAAUUGAAUCCUAAUCAAAUUCUAAAAAAAUCUUUAAAAAAUACUAACCAAAUACUAAUCAAAUUUCAAAUAAAUUUUAAUCAAAUUCUAAAAAAAUCCUAAUCAAAUCUUAA